rnacentral:rRNA from 1 species
GACGAACCGUGCGAACGUUAUUCGGAAUCACUGGGCUUAAAGCGCGUGUAGGCGGAUGGGAACGUCGGUCGCUGAAAUCCCCCGGCUUAACCGGGGAAGUGGCGCCGAUACGCCCCGUCUUGAGGAACGUAGGGGGAGCUGGAACUUCCGGUGGAGCGGUGAAAUGCGUUGAGAUCGGAAGGAACGCCCGUGGCGAAAGCGAGCUCCUGGACGUUUUCUGACGCUGAGACGCGAAAGCCAGGGGA